rnacentral:rRNA from 1 species
GAUAUUAUCCCCUUGUAGUGUAGUUUAAUAGCUAUCUACAUAAUAACUUAAUAUAAAGUAUAAUAGUUUAUAUUUUAUAAUAUGACGUUAACAAUUUUGUUUAAUAUUUGAAAAUGUUAGUAUUAGUAAUAUUAGUAUAUGUGCUAAAGGAACUCGGCAAAAAACCACUCAACUGUUUAUCAAAAACAUAGCUAUAUGAAUUAAUAUAUAGUUAUUUCUGCUCAAUGACUUAAAUAGCCGCAGUACUCUGACUGUGCAAAGGUAGCAUAAUCAGUUGGCUUUUAAUUAGAGUCUGGUAUGAACGAAAAUAUGGGUAGUAACUGUCUUAGCACAUUUUUCCGAACUUAUUAAACAAGUGCAAAUGCUUGUAAUUUAACAAUAGACGAGAAGACCCUAGAAACUUGGACAAGUUUUUGUUGGGGCGACAGAAUUACAUUUAACUAAUCUUAUAAUACACGACGCGAUGUUGAAAGAAUAAGUUACUCUAGGGAUAACAGCAUAAUUUCAUUAGUUUGUGACCUCGAUGUUGGACUAGGUACUAUACCCUUAAGGCAAGGAUAUAUUAUGCUCUGUUCGAGCAAAAUUACCUACAUGAUCUGAGUUCAGACCGG